rnacentral:tRNA from 1 species
GUCCCGUUCGUCUAGAGGCCUAGGACACCGCCCUUUCACGGCGGUAACAGGGGUUCGACUCCCCUAUCGCCCA